rnacentral:rRNA from 1 species
UACGGAGGAUGCAAGCGUUAUCCGGAAUGAUUGGGCGUAAAGCGUCCGCAGGUGGCUAUGUAAGUCUGCUGUUAAAGAGUGAGGCUCAACCUCAUAAGAGCAGUGGAAACUACAUGGCUAGAGUGCGUUCGGGGCAGAGGGAACUCCUGGUGUAGCGGUGAAAUGCGUAGAUAUCAGGAAGAACACCGGUGGCGAAGGCGCUCUGCUAGGCCGCAACUGACACUGAGGGACGAAAGCUAGGGGAGCGAAUGGG